CCUACGGGAGGCAGCAGUGAGGAAUAUUGGUCAAUGGCCGGAAGGCUGAACCAGCCAAGCCGCGUGAAGGACGAAGGUGCCAAGCAUUGUAAACUUCUUUUGUCAAGGGACAAAAUCAGGCUCGAGAGCCUGACCGAGGGUACUUGAAGAAAAAGCAUCGGCUAACUCCGUGCCAGCAGCCGCGGUAAUACGGAGGAUGCGAGCGUUAUCCGGAUUUAUUGGGUUUAAAGGGUGCGUAGGCGGGCUGUUAAGUCAGCGGGAAAAGCCCGGGGCUCAACCCCGGCGAGCCGUUGAAACUGGCUGUCUUGAGAUGUCGAGAGGUAUGCGGAAUGCGCAGUGUAGCGGUGAAAUGCUUAGAUAUUGAGCAGAACUCCGAUUGCGAAGGCAGCAUACCGGCGGCGAUCUGACGCUGAGGCACGAAAGCGUGGGUAUCGCACAGGAUUAGAUACCCCUGUAGUC
rnacentral:rRNA from 1 species